rnacentral:rRNA from 1 species
GGGUUGUGAGGUUAAGCGACUAAGCGUACACGGUGGAUGCCCUGGCAGUCAGAGGCGAUGAAGGACGUGCUAAUCUGCGAAAAGCGUCGGUAAGGUGAUAUGAACCGUUAUAGCCGGCGAUGUCCGAAUGGGGAAACCCAGUGCAAUUCGUUGCACUAUCGUUAACUGAAUACAUAGGUUAACGAGGCGAACCGGGGGAACUGAAACAUCUAAGUACCCCGAGGAAAAGAAAUCAACCGAGAUUCCCCCAGUAGCGGCGAGCGAACGGGGAGCAGCCCAGAGUCUGAAUCAGCUUGUGUGUUAGUGGAACGGUCUGGAAAGUCCGACGGUACAGGGUGAUAGUCCCGUACACCAAAAUGCACAGGCUGUGAACUCGAAGAGUAGGGCGGGACACGUGGUAUCCUGUCUGAAUAUGGGGGGACCAUCCUCCAAGGCUAAAUACUCCUGACUGACCGAUAGUGAACCAGUACCGUGAGGGAAAGGCGAAAAGAACCCCGGCGAGGGGAGUGAAAAAGAACCUGAAACCGUGUACGUACAAGCAGUGGGAGCACCUUCGGGUGUGACUGCGUACCUUUUGUAUAAUGGGUCAGCGACUUAUAUUCUGUAGCAAGGUUAACCGUAUAGGGGAGCCGCAGGGAAACCGAGUCUUAACUGGGCGUUAAGUUGCAGGGUAUAGACCCGAAACCCGGUGAUCUAGCCAUGGGCAGGUUGAAGGUUGGGUAACACUAACUGGAGGACCGAACCGACUAAUGUUGAAAAAUUAGCGGAUGACUUGUGGCUGGGGGUGAAAGGCCAAUCAAACCGGGAGAUAGCUGGUUCUCCCCGAAAGCUAUUUAGGUAGCGCCUCGUGAACUCAUCUUCGGGGGUAGAGCACUGUUUCGGCUAGGGGGUCAUCCCGACUUACCAACCCGAUGCAAACUACGAAUACCGAAGAAUGUUAUCACGGGAGACACACGGCGGGUGCUAACGUCCGUCGUGAAGAGGGAAACAACCCAGACCGCCAGCUAAGGUCCCAAAGUCAUGGUUAAGUGGGAAACGAUGUGGGAAGGCACAGACAGCCAGGAUGUUGGCUUAGAAGCAGCCAUCAUUUAAAGAAAGCGUAAUAGCUCACUGGUCGAGUCGGCCUGCGCGGAAGAUGUAACGGGGCUAAACCAUGCACCGAAGCUGCGGCAGCGACACUAUGUGUUGUUGGGUAGGGGAGCGUUCUGUAAGCCUGCGAAGGUGGCCUGUGAGGGUUGCUGGAGGUAUCAGAAGUGCGAAUGCUGACAUAAGUAACGAUAAAGCGGGUGAAAAGCCCGCUCGCCGGAAGACCAAGGGUUCCUGUCCAACGUUAAUCGGGGCAGGGUGAGUCGACCCCUAAGGCGAGGCCGAAAGGCGUAGUCGAUGGGAAACAGGUUAAUAUUCCUGUACUUGGUGUUACUGCGAAGGGGGGACGGAGAAGGCUAUGUUAGCCGGGCGACGGUUGUCCCGGUUUAAGCAUGUAGGCUGGUUGUCCAGGCAAAUCCGGAUAAUCAAGGCUGAGGUGUGAUGACGAGGCACUACGGUGCUGAAGUAACAAAUGCCCUGCUUCCAGGAAAAGCCUCUAAGCAUCAGGUAACAUCAAAUCGUACCCCAAACCGACACAGGUGGUCAGGUAGAGAAUACCAAGGCGCUUGAGAGAACUCGGGUGAAGGAACUAGGCAAAAUGGUGCCGUAACUUCGGGAGAAGGCACGCUGGUGUGUAGGUGAAGCCCCUGCGGGUGGAGCUGAGACCAGUCGAAGAUACCAGCUGGCUGCAACUGUUUAUUAAAAACACAGCACUGUGCAAACACGAAAGUGGACGUAUACGGUGUGACGCCUGCCCGGUGCCGGAAGGUUAAUUGAUGGGGUUAUCCGUAAGGAGAAGCUCUUGAUCGAAGCCCCGGUAAACGGCGGCCGUAACUAUAACGGUCCUAAGGUAGCGAAAUUCCUUGUCGGGUAAGUUCCGACCUGCACGAAUGGCGUAAUGAUGGCCAGGCUGUCUCCACCCGAGACUCAGUGAAAUUGAACUCGCUGUGAAGAUGCAGUGUACCCGCGGCAAGACGGAAAGACCCCGUGAACCUUUACUAUAGCUUGACACUGAACAUUGAGCCUUGAUGUGUAGGAUAGGUGGGAGGCUUUGAAGCGUGGACGCCAGUCUGCGUGGAGCCAACCUUGAAAUACCACCCUUUAAUGUUUGAUGUUCUAACGUUGGCCCCUGACCGGGGUUGCGGACAGUGUCUGGUGGGUAGUUUGACUGGGGCGGUCUCCUCCCAAAGCGUAACGGAGGAGCACGAAGGUUAGCUAAUCCUGGUCGGACAUCAGGAGGUUAGUGCAAUGGCAUAAGCUAGCUUGACUGCGAGCGUGACGGCGCGAGCAGGUGCGAAAGCAGGUCAUAGUGAUCCGGUGGUUCUGAAUGGAAGGGCCAUCGCUCAACGGAUAAAAGGUACUCCGGGGAUAACAGGCUGAUACCGCCCAAGAGUUCAUAUCGACGGCGGUGUUUGGCACCUCGAUGUCGGCUCAUCACAUCCUGGGGCUGAAGUAGGUCCCAAGGGUAUGGCUGUUCGCCAUUUAAAGUGGUACGCGAGCUGGGUUUAGAACGUCGUGAGACAGUUCGGUCCCUAUCUGCCGUGGGCGCUGGAGAAUUGAGGGGGGCUGCUCCUAGUACGAGAGGACCGGAGUGGACGCAUCACUGGUGUUCGGGUUGUCAUGCCAAUGGCACUGCCCGGUAGCUAAAUGCGGAAGAGAUAAGUGCUGAAAGCAUCUAAGCACGAAACUUGCCCCGAGAUGAGUUCUCCCUGAGACUUUAAGUCUCCUGAAGGAACGUUGAAGACGACGACGUUGAUAGGCCGGGUGUGUAAGCGCAGCGAUGCGUUGAGCUAACCGGUACUAAUGAACCGUGAGGCUUAACCUUACAACGCCGAAG